AUGCUCCUCAACUGCAUUCAACUGCAUUUACUUACUUCAGCAAAAUCUUCCAAAUAUUCAGAAACUCUUUUCUUCUGUCUUUCAACUCUGACAUGGGUCCCUCCAGGCGUGGAGAAGAUUAAGGAAGAAAAGUCAAGGUCGGCACCAGUACAAUCUGGAGCUGGUUUUUCCUGGUAUUUGCAGAUGUCUCCAGCCACCUCUCGCUGGGAGGGAUGACCAAAACCGACUCCUUUCCUUGGAUGGCUUGUGUGGGUGCUUCAGUCUCGCCGGAGAACAACCAAGGAGACUUAUCUAGACAGCAGCAACAGAUUUUUCUCAGAUAGGCUGCUCAUGUGCGGUCCUUCCAGCGGUACUGCGGGGACCUCUUCCACAGAAUUUGAACGGCCCCAGAACAGCUCUCUCGUUUGGGGCUCACCUCUGGCCCACAAGGAACACUCCAAUGCAUGCUCGCCCCCACCACUGGCACCCAAUUCAUCUGCCUUAGAAGGAUCAGAGCCAAGGCCUCCUGCCUUUAGUCCUCAGAUGUAUACCUAGCUUCUCUGAUUUCCCUAAAAGCUGAUUUAUUCCCCAUCUCAGUGCUUCAGGAAGGCUGGUUGGUGCUCUUUCUCUGAUCCUCCAGCGCCCUCUACUGGGCCUUCACUUACCCAACAUCUUCACAAUCAGGUAAGACGCCUUCUUUCAGAGAGCACUCAUACACAGUGGCUGUUUUCCUGACCCAACCCUCGCUGGUACAUUCUUAUGUAGGUGGCGCUACAGGAAUACAUCUGUUAGAUCCUGUAACUUGUCCCUGAGGCUAACUGGAAAAGAAGUGAGGUUCCACAAAGAAGGAGAAAACAGACACUGAGGUCUGCUUGAGGGGUGAGGGUGGGAAGAGGGAGAGGAACAGAAAAGACAGUAUUAGGUACUGAGCUUAAUAUCUGGGUGAUGUAAUAAUCUGUACAACAAACCCCCAUGACAUAAUUUUAACCAUGUAACAAACCUUCACAUGUGCCCCCAAACCUGAAAUAAUUUUUUUCAAGUGAGGUUCCCUAUAAUGUGUCCCUUAACUGUCCAAAAAUAAAGCUCAAUGGGCAUCUAAGCUGUCAGCCAUGGCAUCAAUAGUAAGGGACAGUUCCAGUGGCAUCUCCUCUGACAUAUUUGAAGUAUAUAAUUGGAAUGCCAUGUGCUAGCUCCAUUAUCUCUUCUGGUCAAGGGGAAAUAUCCUCGAUGUAUUUUGCAGAGUUCAGUAAAUCUAUCAGGAUAGGGGUCUUCCUGGGAAGUAGCUCCAGUUACCUCUACAAAGACUAACUGAAACCCUUCCAAAAGCAGUUGGUUUUCACUGGAAGAUCUCCGUCAGCGUGCCUGACGACUUGGUGCAUCCUACUAAUCCAAGAUAUAAACUUGUGCAUGAUGGGUAAAUGUAUCCAAUACUACAAAUUUAUCUUCUAGAUACCAACUAUUGGAUUCUAAUUCUUUCCACCAACUCCAGAGCUCUCAGGAUAAGCUGGCCAUUUCACUAGACUUAGGAGGCACACAGCUCACAUUUGAAAUGGCAUCUUCUGCCAUUUGGGGCCAAAAGGAGUGUUAUUAUCCAACACCAAGGCAAAGGAGAUUAAAUAUUUCAUGCAACAUGCUGUGAGGGCCACGUGCAUCACCACCAUCUGCAGUGCUUAAUGAAUAUUAAGCACUCUGUGCCCACCUCAAACAGACAGAACGAGAAUUUCUCUUGGAUGCAGGAAACUACGUAUUGAAGAAACACUCCAGGUAAUCCUCUUGCACAACCAAAUUUCAGAAUCCUGAGGUAGAUAAUCAGAGAAGUCAACACCAGAGGAAUUACACUGUUUAACCUCAUUUUUCUUUAAACCUUUGUUCCUGACUUCUUUGCCAGAUGGCCUCACGCUCUCCCUUUUUACAUUCAAGGCUGACCUUAACAAUGAAAAGCAAAGGUACUGCUGACAGAACCAUGAGAAAGAAGAGCUAGAAAAGAUUUACAAAGAAGGAUGAGAGACAUAAUAUUCCCACUUACAACAUGGAGCAUUAAAGGAUGCCAUUUACAGGUGUUGAAACAAUACAAAAGUAAGCGUAUCAUUUAUAGCUACCAAGGUCAUCGUAAAGAUCUGAAGUAACAAAUAAAAGUGCAUUUGGCAAGGGCAGCAAUAGUCUUAAGCAAGCUAAAUCUAUAGCACAAUUUUUGAACCACAGAUAUGUAUUAUUUUCUAAAAGUGUUUAUAUAUCCUUUUCAAAAUAAAUUUUACUACCCAUACUGAUAGACAAUAAAUUCUAAUAUUUUGUG
ensembl:lncRNA